GACGAACCGAGCGAACGUUAUUCGGAAUCACUGGGCUUAAAGGGCGCGUAGGCGGGCGGCCAAGUCAGGGGUGAAAGCCCCCAGCUCAACUGGGGAAGUGCCUCUGACACUGGCCAUCUCGAGGGAGGUAGGGGCGUGCGGAACUUCCGGUGGAGCGGUGAAAUGCGUAGAUAUCGGAAGGAACACCGGUGGCGAAAGCGGCGCGCUGGACCUCUUCUGACGCUGAGGCGCGAAAGCCAGGGGAGCAAACGGG
rnacentral:rRNA from 1 species